rnacentral:rRNA from 1 species
UACGGAGGGGGCUAGCGUUGUUCGGAAUUACUGGGCGUAAAGCGCACGUAGGCGGCUUUGUAAGUUAGAGGUGAAAGCCCGGGGCUCAACUCCGGAAUUGCCUUUAAGACUGCAUCGCUAGAAUUGUGGAGAGGUAAGUGGAAUUCCGAGUGUAGAGGUGAAAUUCGUAGAUAUUCGGAAGAACACCAGUGGCGAAGGCGACUUACUGGACACAUAUUGACGCUGAGGCGCGAAAGCUAGGGGAGCGAACAGG